rnacentral:rRNA from 1 species
UAGAGUUUGAUCCUGGCUCAGAAUGAACGUUGGCGGCGUGGAUUAGGCAUGCAAGUCGAGCGAGAACCGUAGUAAUACGGGGACAGCGGCGAAAGGGAGAGGAACACGUGGGUACCUACCCUCAGACUCAGGAUAGCCAUGGGAAACUAUGGGUAAUACUGAAUAAUGUCUUCGGACCAAAGGUGUGAUUCCGUCCGAGGAGGGGCCCGCGUCCUAUUAGCUAGUUGGCGAGGUAACGGCUCACCAAGGCGAAGAUGGGUAUGGGAUGUGAGAGCAUGAUCCCACUCAUUGGGACUGAGACACUGCCCAGACACCUACGGGUGGCUGCAGUCGAGAAUCUUCGGCAAUGGGGGAAACCCUGACCGAGCGACGCCGCGUGCGAGAUGAAGGCCUUCGGGUUGUAAAUCGCUGUCGUAGGGGAGGAAAUGCUGGUGGGUUCUCCCAUCAGUUUGACCUAUCCUAGGAGGAAGGACGGGCUAAGUUCGUGCCAGCCGCCGCGGUAAUACA